AGGUGUCUCUUCUGUUCUGUGAGAGCGCACAGUGUCCUGUCACUAACUCUAAAUGGUGUAUAUUGUAUUACGUGGAGCAUGCAAGAACGAAGAUGAAAUUCAAUUCCAAACAUAACUCAACUAUGCAGGAUGCAAGUCCCAUGUGAAGUUGGACGUAGCCUUUUUAUGAUUCUCAUGCAUCAGGGUGGAUGUGUUGAACUGCUUGGAAGGAGACUUGUCCAAGUUACAUCUGUCUUUAAGUUGGCAGUGAAGAGUAAAUAAAGGUUACUGGUUAAUGACACUGCUCACCAGAUACUGUGGACAAGUGAUUUAAGAUACAGUGGCUUCUUGGAGCACAAGUGUUUGUGGGAGACAUCACUGUGACUUAAGUGGUCAGCAUUUAAAUUCUGUCCCAGUCCUGUAUUUUCUGGCUUCCAUGAUGAUUUCAGUAUUAUUUAAAUUCUGUUUGCUUCUUAUUGGUUGUGGUGUUGGUUUGUUUUUAAUUACGAAUUGCAUAUUUAUCAACUAAAUAAUUCUGAAAGAAUAUUUCAGCAUUAAUUAUCUCAAACUAUUGCAAAACAUAGCAUGAGUCAGAGCUAAACAUCCUAUGAAAACUUUAAAAGUUUGAAGGACAGAGCAAAUUAAAUAUUUGCCAAGUCUAAAAAGCCUUUGUCAACCAUGUAAGAAAUGCUGGCAUGUCCAGGACAAAAUGAGGCAUUCUUUUUCCCUCCCCACAUUUCUCCACCCUACUCAACUGGUUUGUUUUGAAAAUUUGAUUACUUCCCCCCCCCAGUGAAUUUCAAAGUAAAGACUUCAGUGUUCUUCUCCUAUUAACAUCCCUUUCUUGCCCAAACCACAGCAUGGUUGCAGCCCAAGAAUAGGAACAAAUUGCAUAGAUAGGAUAAAAGGAAAAAAACCCAACUUAGAUAAACUAUUACAAUGUUCUCAUGUUUUCCUAGACAUUUUAAACCACAAUAAGGAAUUACUGUGCUGGCCAGCAAAAUAAUAUCCUAUUAAAAUCCAUAUUAGAAGCCAUAUAGACAGUGAAUAAUGUAGCUAUUCUGAAUGCUGCCAAAGAGCUCUCAUGUGAUCCAGGCUUCAUCACAUUUGAUCUUUUUCCAUUCUCUCUAUAUACCAUUGUCUUCAAUUCAUACAAGUACAUCAGGAUAGCAAUCCCAAAUCCAUGGCUUAUGGAUAACAUCCCUCAAACUUUCU